AUGAGAGCCUAUAAAAGUGAUAAAGCAGGAGCCCAAGGGACGUUCUUCCUUCCCUCUCCCAUCAAACGCAGUCCUUUUGUGUACAAUCACUGCGUUCUCCUGUUACUCCUUACAAGUUAUCACACAGAACUUGUAUUUUGCCGUCAUCUCUUGUCAGUAUUCUCUCCCUUCUCUCUUUUAUUGUUGGCAGGUGUAUUAAGACAACAUGAAAAUAACUGCUAUCAUAAAAUUGUGCUUUGUAUUUGGGGGUACCAAGACCCAUCCAUUAACCAAAACAUAGGGCUACCAAGAAUUGCCUACAAACAGUAGCUUAAUACCCUGUUCUCUCAUUCCUCAUGCUACCCUGUGGAGGGAGUUACUCUGCUGAAUACUAGCCAGUGACUUCAUAUUGAGUGACAUUCUCUCAUAUAUAAACUCAACAUAAAACACACACACAUACCCACUACCAACUCUCUCUCAUGAGCAAGCAUACACACAUACAUUUUCUUUCUUUCCAGAACAAGCCAGAAUUACAGCUCUUUUGGUGAUUGUUAUAAUUUUGGAAUGGUUCAGAAAUUUUCCAAAUUCUUUUAAAUUUGAAAUACUUUCAUCUUUUUUUUUCCAAUUGUGAACCAUUCCAUAUUGCAUCUUUAUUGCAAAAGUCAACAUGCUUCUUAGAAAUUCAGAUUGUAAUCGAUAAAACAAACAUUACAUAUAUGAAUUUAAAUGUAUAAACAGUUAGAAAUUCAACAGUAUCUCCUAUUAUACUAUUACACAAGUUCACAAUUCAUAAAAACUAUAAUACAGGCAUACUAUACAUCAAGAGGAACCACUAUUCCUUUUCACAUGAUUUUUUUUUCUUCUAUUUUGAAAUAAUGAUCACCACAGACCUUUCACCUUAACAGGGCUGUUCUCCAUUAGAUCAUCUCAGCUGGUGACAGUAUAUUCUCAAUAUUCCAAGAAGAAAUUGAGGGAAAUUUCUUUGGGAUUAGCUUUUUUUUUUGAGCUUGGGCAGUUAUCUAGUAAGUCGCCUGACCCAGCCAGCCUGCUGGGAGGUUGUUGCUGAUCAGCUUCUUGUAAACACAUCACGCAUACAAG
rnacentral:lncRNA from 1 species